ACAAAAUAUUUUUUUUUAAGUAAAUGCAUGCCCUCCCCUCAAAAAGUAGGCAAAACAUUUUCCUGAACUUUUAUGGGGUGGGAGAAAAACAGGCACAGGGGUGAUGAAUUGAUACAGAACUAGGGAAAACUAAGGAAGAGCCCCAGCCCUGGAUGUGUUUAGGAGGAAGACUUUUGAAAGAGAUGGAAGAGCUCCUCACUCACAUGAUGGGAAUCAUGUGCAGAGACAGCCUACAUUGUCAGAAUAUAUGAGGGGCAAAUGUCUUCAGGACCACUGCUAAGAUGUUGCUCCCUUGCAAGGCAUUUGUGGCCAAUCGGGUUCUCUUUGUUCUUCAGCUUUUGUGGUGUUGCUUUCCUGUUUGAAGUGCUGACAGUGCUCAUUGUUGGACUCACUCACACCUUAACCAUUAAAGCAACUUUUAAAAUGCUGAUCGUGCUCAGGAAAUGACAAACUUUUUGCUAUGUGUGUCGCAAACCACCUCUGAGGGAAAGACGGAAAUCUCUUUGGAGCUGGAAAACCAUCCCUAUCCUUAUGUGCAACAUAUAGGAGACAUAUAGGAAGCUGUCUAAUACUGAAUCAGACCAUUGGUCCUUCUUAUUUAGUUUUGUCUACACUGGCAGGCAGUGGCUCCCCAGGGUUUCAGGAAGGAGUGUUUCUCAACCCUACCUUGAGAUGCUGGGGAUUGAACCUAGAAUCUUCUGCACACAAAGCAGACACUAUAUCACUGAGUUACAGCCCUUCCCCAAGGGGCAUAAGAGCAUCAGAGGGGGGAAACUAAAUAAAAGAAAGAGAGAAUCAACUCUGACAGCCGGGACCUCUUCUGAACCAAAGUACAGUAAGACACUUUUCAGUUUAGGUAGGUACUGCUUAAGUAUUUGUACAACUGCAAAGCUUAAGUCUCCAUGGUAUCUUUGCAAGGGAGAAGGAUGGGGAGAAAGCUAGAAGUGGUCAUGCCACUGAGACUUAAUUGACCACACACCCCUGACUUCCUAAGAGCCCUGCCAGGUCCAGUGGGCAUGAGCUGUCACUGUUUCCACCUAUAGAAGAUGUCUGUUUGUUCACCUAGAGAUAGAGCAGCAUGAGCAAACAACCAGCUGAAACCAAUUUGGCAGAUUGACAGUUGAUCUCAGACUGAGAAGGCUGAAGUCUAUAUACAUGUGGCUUAAUAAUUUUCUAGGAAAUCUAAAAGUUUUAAAUGUUUUAACCCUGCAUCUCUGACUUUGACCCUUUUCCACUAUGUGAGAAGUUUUAUUGCUAGACUGCUGUUCUAAAUGCCUGAAUUUAUGUUCUGUUCAGUGUUUCUGAAUAAAUCUUUCCAUUCUUUUA